GUCAGACAAAAUGCAGAGGGGGCCAAGAGGCUGGUGUGAUGUCCGGCAGGGUCAGGCAGGACAUGGAUCAGCUCAGGCCUGUAAAAUGCCCGUGAGCUGCGGACUUACAGGAAUGGCCCAUCUAAGCACUGUCAAAGAGACUCCACCAUCUCAGGAAAUCUUGCAAUGGCAGUCCCCUUCUGGAGGUCACUGAUUCUGACAAUCACCCAUGGACAAGAGUGCCUCGGUGGAAUUCCAG